AGCCCUGUCGUCGCCUUCGCUACGGGUUCUCUUAUGCACACCAGACAUCAAGUGGUCUUCCAUGCCGCCGCCGCUGGACAGGAUUGCGAGGGAAUCCGCUAUAUCGUAGCAGAGAGAGUGCGAGAGACAGGCAGAGGAAGAAACUUUUUGAUUGAGCAAACAAAUAAUGAGAGAUCUGUGUGUUCGUUCCUAUGACCUAACCCUAGCCGGCAUUCAGAUUUUGUUUUAUACAAGAUCCAGACAAAUUUAGACCGUCAGAUUAAACCCGUAUGAUAAAAAAACAGCCUGAUGUCCGUUAAAUUCGGCCCACAUAUUCAGC
rnacentral:lncRNA from 1 species